AUUGAACGCUGGCGGCAUGCUUUACACAUGCAAGUCGAACGGCAGCACGGACUUCGGUCUGGUGGCGAGUGGCGAACGGGUGAGUAAUACAUCGGAACGUGCCCAGUUGUGGGGGAUAACUACUCGAAAGAGUAGCUAAUACCGCAUGAGAACUGAGGUUGAAAGCAGGGGAUCGUAAGACCUUGCGCAACUGGAGCGGCCGAUGGCAGAUUAGGUAGUUGGUGGGAUAAAAGCUUACCAAGCCGACGAUCUGUAGCUGGUCUGAGAGGACGACCAGCCACACUGGGACUGAGACACGGCCCAUACUCCGACGGGAGGGAGCAGUGGGGAAUUUUGGACAAUGGGCGAAAGCCUGAUCCAGCAAUGCCGCGUGAAGGAUGAAGGCCUUCGGGUUGUAAACUGCUUUUGUACGGAACGAAAAGCUUCGGGCUAAUACCCUGGAGUCAUGACGGUACCGUAAGAAUAAGCACCGGCUAACUACGUGCCAGCCGCCGCCGUAAAAC
rnacentral:rRNA from 1 species